rnacentral:rRNA from 1 species
AUAACCAAAGAUUCAUCGGGUAUGGAGAUGGUGAUGCGUCCGAUUAGGUAGUAGGCGGGGUAACGGCCCACCUGGCCUUCGAUCGGUAGGGGUUCUGAGAGGAAGUCCCCCCACACUGGAACUGAGACACGGUCCAGACUCCUACGGGAGGCAGCAGUGAGGAAUAUUGGUCAAUGGACGAAAGUCUGAACCAGCCAAGUAGCGUGCAGGAUGACGGCCCUCUGGGUUGUAAACUGCUUUUAGUUGGGAAUAAAAAAGAGGACGUGUCCUCUAUUGUAUGUACCUUCAGAAAAAGGACCGGCUAAUUCCGUGCCAGCAGCCGCGGUAAUACGGAAGGUCCAGGCGUUAUCCGGAUUUAUUGGGUUUAAAGGGAGCGUAGGCGGAUUAUUAAGUCAGUGGUGAAAGACGGUGGCUCAACCAUCGUUAGCCAUUGAAACUGGUAGUCUUGAGUGCAGACAGGGAUGCUGGAACUCGUGGUGUAGCGGUGAAAUGCUUAGAUAUCACGAUGAACUCCGAUCGCGAAGGCAGGUGUCCGGGCUGCAACUGACGCUGAGGCUCGAAAGUGUGGGUAUCAAACAGGAUUAGAUACCCUGGUAGUCCACACAGUAAACGAUGUAUACUCGCGGUUUGCGAUACAAUGUAAGCCGCCAA